rnacentral:rRNA from 1 species
ACUCCUACGGGAGGCAGCAGUGGGAAUAUUGCACAAUGGGGAAGCCAUCGAUGCAGCCAUGCCGCGCUGUGUGAAGAAGGCCAAUUCGGGCUUUGGUUAAAGACACUUUUCAGUAGGGAGGAAGGUAGUGUAGUUAACACCUGCAUUAUUUGACGUUACCUACAGAAGAAGCACCGGCUAACUCCGUGCCAGCAGCCGCGGUAAUACGGAGGGUGCGAGCGUUAAUCGGAAUUACUGGGCGUAAAGCGCAUGCAGGCGGCCUGUUAAGUCAGAUGUGAAAGCCCGGGGCUUAACCUCGGAAUUGCAUUUGAAACUGGCAGGCUAGAGUCUUGUAGAGGGGUGAGAAUUGAUCAGGUG